AGCACUGGGGUGUGUUUUCGUUCAACUAGUAGACAAAGGCAAGAACGACAGGUGUAAAAAUAAAUUCUUUUUUGCAACCCAGAACCCAUUGUUCAGUAUGAGUUUUGAUACAUAUAAGAAGGAACAUG
ensembl:snoRNA Gm23320 predicted gene, 23320